UAGAGGGCAGCAGAGGGUCAGGUGUCUCUGCAGGUGGCUGGGGAGGUGUAGGACACCACCCAGGGAGGGGCUUGCAGCCUAGGGUGGCAGUGACAAAGAAGAGCCAAGGACACAGUCAAAACACAAGCCUCAGGGGCCAGUUGUGGAAAUAUCACUCCCCUCAAGGGAAAUGAUAGAAUCCGAAACAAGAGCACCUGAGCCCAGAGAAGCCAGAAUGGUGUUGGAACGCAGAGAGGAUGAGAGCCGGAGUGAGGACCAGGCUGGAGCUGCAUAAUACUGUGAUAAGCAAAGGGCCAUCACCAGCAUACUGAAAAAUAAGAAAGAAAUCCAAGAAAGACACCACCUCUAAACAUUACUGCCAGGAAGCCGCCUUACAAAUGACAACCAUUUCAGUGACAAGAUAAAGUCUGUUGGAGGAGACAGUGCCUCCAUAACAGCAGGCUGGAUGUGCCCCUCCACCCCCUACAUCUAAUGGCAUCACAUGGUGGAUGGGAUGGUAAACAAGGCCAAGGGAGAGUGAAGCAGACAGCUCUGACUCUCAUCUCUUGGCAGAAAAACCUGCAUCAGAUGUUUAGCUAAUGUUUCUGUUUAGCUUUUCAGGGACAUCUAGUAUCUAUACACAGAACCUCAGAGGUACUGGCCAGUUAAGUUAAUGCAAUAAGAAAAUAAAAGUCAUCACUCUCAGGAGAAAAGUAACCAAAGCAAUUCUGUGAUAUACCAUUAAGGAAACAACCAUUUUUACGUUUUUAAGAAUUCUUCCAACCAGUUGUUUAGAUAUCAGCUUUAGCAAGGAGUUAUCAGAAUAUAUAGCAUCU
rnacentral:lncRNA from 1 species